rnacentral:tRNA from 18 species
GGCGACAUAGCCAAGUGGUAAGGCAGAGGUCUGCAAAAUCUCCACCCCCAGUUCGAGUCUGGGUGUCGCCUCCA